rnacentral:rRNA from 1 species
UACGGAGGGUGCGAGCGUUGUCCGGAAUCACUGGGCGUAAAGGGCGCGUAGGCGGCAGCCCAAGUCGGUGGUGAAAGCCCGUGGCUCAACUGCGGGUCGGCCACCGAUACUGGGUAGCUUGAGCACGGUAGAGGCAGGUGGAAUUCCGGGUGUAGCGGUGGAAUGCGUAGAGAUCCGGAAGAACACCGGUGGCGAAGGCGGCCUGCUGGGCCGGAGCCGAAAGGCAUUAGCUGACGCUGAGGCGCGACAGCGUGGGGAGCAAACAGG